rnacentral:tRNA from 1 species
GGGAGCUUAGCUCAGUUGGNNUCUGCCUUACAAGCAGAGGGUCGGGGGUUCGACUCCCUCAGCUCCCACAA